CCUACGGGAGGCAGCAGUGAGGAAUAUUGGUCAAUGGACGAGAGUCUGAACCAGCCAAGCAGCGUGAAGGAUGACUGCCCUAUGGGUUGUAAACUUCUUUUAUAUGGGAAUAAAAUGUGCCACUAGUGGGCUUUUGUGUGUACCUUAAGAAUAAGCAUCGGCUAACUCCGUGCCAGCAGCCGCGGUAAUACGGAGGAUCCGAGCGUUAUCCGGAUUUAUUGGGUUUAAAGGGAGCGUAGGUGGAUUGUUAAGUCAGUUGUGAAAGUUUGCGGCUCAACCGUAAAAUUGCAGUUGAAACUGGCAGUCUUGAGUACAGUAGAGGUGAGCGGAAUGCGUGGUGUAGCGGUGAAAUGCUUAGAUAUCACGAAGAACUCCGAUUGCGAAGGCAGCUCACUGGACUGCAACUGACACUGAGGCACGAAAGUGUGGGUAUCAAACAGGAUUAGAUACCCGAGUAGUC
rnacentral:rRNA from 1 species